rnacentral:rRNA from 1 species
CCUACGGGUGGCAGCAGUGGGGAAUAUUGGACAAUGGGGGCAACCCUGAUCCAGCCAUGCCGCGUGUGUGAAGAAGGCCUUUUGGUUGUAAAGCACUUUAAGCAGGGAGGAGAGGCUAAUGGUUAAUACCCAUUAGAUUAGACGUUACCUGCAGAAUAAGCACCGGCUAACUCUGUGCCAGCAGCCGCGGUAAUACAGAGGGUGCGAGCGUUAAUCGGAAUUACUGGGCGUAAAGCGAGUGUAGGUGGCUCAUUAAGUCACAUGUGAAAUCCCCGGGCUUAACCUGGGAACUGCAUGUGAUACUGGUGGUGCUAGAAUAUGUGAGAGGGAAGUAGAAUUCCAGGUGUAGCGGUGAAAUGCGUAGAGAUCUGGAGGAAUACCGAUGGCGAAGGCAGCUUCCUGGCAUAAUAUUGACACUGAGAUUCGAAAGCGUGGGUAGCAAACAGGAUUAGAUACCCCAGUAGUC